rnacentral:rRNA from 1 species
CCUACGGGUGGCAGCAGUGGGGAAUAUUGCACAAUGGGCGCAAGUCUGAUGCAGCCAUGCCGCGUGUGUGAAGAAGGCCUUCGGGUUGUAAAGCACUUUCAGCGGGGAGGAAGGCGUUAAGGUUAAUAACCUUGGCGAUUGACGUUACCCGCGGAAGAAGCACCGGCUAACUCCGUGCCAGCAGCCGCGGUAAUACGGAGGGUGCAAGCGUUAAUCGGAAUUACUGGGCGUAAAGCGCACGCAGGCGGUCUGUCAAGUCGGAUGUGAAAUCCCCGGGCUCAACCUGGGAACUGCAUUCGAAACUGGCAGGCUAGAGUCUUGUAGAGGGGGGUAGAAUUCCAGGUGUAGCGGUGAAAUGCGUAGAGAUCUGUAGGAAUACCGGUGGCGAAGGCGGCCCCCUGGACAAAGACUGACGCUCAGGUGCGAAAGCGUGGGGAGCAAACAGGAUUAGAUACCCGUGUAGUC